AUCACAUUGAUUCAUGGCCACUAUACUUAAAAUUGGGGGUCAUAUGUAUAUUAAGCCCCCGAAUAUUUCUAUUGUUGGGACUGGGAACAUUCUUCUGAAUAAACUUGGUUGGGAUAUCAAGAAUUUGUUUCAUUUAAGUAGCUUUUAUGAUGAUUCAACUAAUGGCUUGCCAGUCCUAUCUUCUGAUAUUAGCCCCUUUUCCUGUCCAAUUUUUCCCAGGUUGAAGCAGAGAAACCGAACCCAAUGAUAUUCUUGAAAGCUUGUGACUUAUUAGGUGUACAACCUGAGGAUGCAGUGCAUGUUGGCGAUGAUCGUAGGAAUGAUCUGUGGGGUGCCAGAGAUGCAGGCUGCGACGCUUGGCUCUGGGGAAGUGAUGUCUACUCCUUCAAGGAGGUUGCUCAGAGGAUAGGAGUGAAGGUCUGAGAGCAGGAAGGAUGGGUAAUAUGUGUACAGGUGGUUGUAAUAUGUGGUGGGGUGAGGGCGAGGCAAUAAUAGCCAUAAGAAGUUCAAUAAGAUUUCUCUUUUGAAGCUUCAGUUCGCCAUAUAUAAAGGCUUAGAGCUGUGGCAUUUCUGUAAAUUAGUUCAAAAACACUUUAAUAAUAUUAAUACCCUUUUUUCAGCUUAA